rnacentral:rRNA from 1 species
GUAGGGUGCGAGCGUUAAUCGGGAAUUACUGGGGCGUAAAGCGUGCGCAGGCGGCUUUGCAAGACAGAGGUGAAAUCCCCGGGGCUCAACCUGGGAACUGCCUUUGUGACUGCAAGGCUAGAGUACGGCAGAGGGGGAUGGAAUUCCGCGUGUAGCAGUGAAAUGCGUAGAUAUGCGGAGGAACACCGAUGGCGAAGGCAAUCCCCUGGGCCUGUACUGACGCUCAUGCACGAAAGCGUGGGGAGCAAACAGGAUUAGAUACCCUGGUAGUCCACGCCCUAAACGAUGUCAACUGGUUGUUGGACGGCUUGCUGUUCAGUAACGAAGCUAACGCGUGAAGUUGACCGCCUGGGGAGUACGGCCGCAAGGUUG